GAGCUAAUACAUGCUAAAAACCCCGACUUCGGGAGGGGUGUAUUUAUUAGAUAAAAAACCAAUGCCCUUCGGGGCUCUUUGGUGAUUCAUGAUAACUUAACGGAUCGCAUGGCCUUGCGCCGGCGACGGUUCAUUCAAAUUUCUGCCCUAUCAACUUUCGAUGGUAAGGUAUUGGCUUACCAUGGUUUCAACGGGUAACGGGGAAUUAGGGUUCGAUUCCGGAGAGGGAGCCUGAGAAACGGCUACCACAUCCAAGGAAGGCAGCAGGCGCGCAAAUUACCCAAUCCCGACUCGGGGAGGUAGUGACAAUAAAUACUGAUACAGGGCUCUUUUGGGUCUUGUAAUCGGAAUGAGUACAAUUUAAACCCCUUAACGAGGAACAAUUGGAGGGCAAGUCUGGUGCCAGCAGCCGCGGUAAUUCCAGCUCCAAUAGCGUAUAUUAAAGUUGUUGCAGUUAAAAAGCUCGUAGUUGAACCUUGGGCCUGGCUGGCCGGUCCGCCUCACCGCGUGUACUGGUCCGGCCGGGCCUUUCCUUCUGGAGAGCCGCAUGCCCUUCACUGGGUGUGUCGGGGAACCAGGACUUUUACUUUGAAAAAAUUAGAGUGUUCAAAGCAGGCCUUUGCUCGAAUACGUUAGCAUGGAAUAAUAGAAUAGGACGUGCGGUCCUAUUUUGUUGGUUUCUAGGACCGCCGUAAUGAUUAAUAGGGAUAGUCGGGGGCAUCAGUAUUCAAUUGUCAGAGGUGAAAUUCUUGGAUUUAUUGAAGACUAACUACUGCGAAAGCAUUUGCCAAGGAUGUUUUCAUUAAUCAGUGAACGAAAGUUAGGGGAUCGAAGACGAUCAGAUACCGUCGUAGUCUUAACCGUAAACUAUGCCGACUAGGGAUCGGGCGAUGUUUCUAUCUUGACUCGCUCGGCACCUUACGAG
rnacentral:rRNA from 1 species